ACCUUACCUUGUUUUGCUAUGACGUGUGCAUGAAAUUGUUUUACAUCUUUGGCUCUUAGGUAUCGUCAAAAGCAUAAAUAUGUUGAAGUGAAAGCCAUAAAAGGCUGGGCAAGGCAGAUUCUUCAAGGGUUAGAACCACCUAUAAUUCACAGAGACUUGAAAUGUGACAACAUCUUUGUUAAUGGAAACCAUGUAGAAGUCAAGAUAGGGGACCUAGGUUUGGUAAUGGUCAUGCAGCAACCAACUGCUCAAAGUGUUAUUGGGACUCCUGAGUUUAUGGCUCUAGAACUAUAUGUGAGGGCCAUGGGUCCUAGUAGUUCUGGAUCACGUAUUCUCCCACCUCCUCCUUUUACCUUUUCAAACUCUCAGAAAGGCACAGCUCUAGUCCCAGUCCCAGGUAGAAAACUCCCACCUAUUCGGUAGUGACCAGGACAACCAUAGCAUUCUCAAAGGGAGGAUGAUUCUGAUGAUCUUGAUGACUUGGAUGAUUAUUUAGAUAAAUGCUGAUUGCGAAGAAGAUCUAGAUGGUCAAAAGUCUAUUUUAGAAUUCUGCAUCUACCUUGGAAGAAAUCUGGUAUCAUGGAAAUCAAACAAACAAACUAAGCUAAGGAGAAGCAGCAUAGAGGCAGAGUAUAGGUCAAUGACAGUAGAAGAAAUAGAAAUCAGCAGAGCUUCAUAUGCAUCAAUUGACUCCGCCAACCAUAUACUAUGAUAACCAGAGUUCAUGUCUUCUAGUAGCCAUUUCAAUAUUGCAUAGCAGAUGCAAACAUUUGGAACUCGACUUGCACUUUAUUCAGGACUUGGUUAAUAAAAGGAAUUAUUUGUAUUUCAUAUUCCAUCCUAUGGCCAAAUAGCAAAUACACUAACCAAACCUUAUCCUUACCUCAAUUUCAGAAAUUUUGAGCCAAAUUGAGGAUUCAAGACAACAAUUGUACCUCGGUUGGAGGAGGGGAGGUACUAACAGUAUAAAUAGUUACUAUAGUUAACUAGUGUUUGUGUGUAUCUAGAGUUAGUUUAUGAGCUUAGCAAGUUAGUUACAAGCAUAGCAAUUCUGUUACAACUAACUUUCUUUACUUGUUUAUAUAUAAUUAAUUAUAUAAGAGUCUAGUUUGUACAGAAUUGAUCUUCUGCUCUUGCUUCUUGCCGUACA